rnacentral:lncRNA from 1 species
GCAGGGCUGAAGGGGAGUAGCUUUAGCAGAUGGUAGAGAUGUUCUGCAUGCAGAGAUAAUCUAUCAGAGUAACAAUGCUUUUCCAUAGCUUUUUGAUAGCUUUUCCACACUGUAAAGAUGGCUUUUUUUCCUUAAUGCAUAAAUGUAUGUAAUAGAAUUGCCAUUGGGGAGGGAAGUGUAAACCAGACUUGGUCAUUUUUUCUCCAGUGAGCUCAGGAAAAAGUAAAUUGUUGAAUCAAAUUGUUCAUGUGUAGGGUUG